rnacentral:rRNA from 1 species
GUUUGAUCCUGGCUCAGGACGAACGCUGGCGGCGCGCCUCAUGCAUGCAAGUCGAGCGACGCACUCCUUAGCCCGUAAGGGCGGGUUUGACGGAGCGGCGAACGGGUGCGUAACACGUGACUAAUCUACCCCGAAGACCGGGAUAGCCCGGGGAAACCCGGAUUAAUACCGGAUGAUCUCACCGCAGCGCAUGUUGCGGGGAGCAAAGGUUCAGGCGCUUCGGGAUGAGGUCGCGGCCCAUCAGCUGGUUGGUGAGGUAACGGCUCACCAAGGCAACGACGGGUAGCUGGUCUGAGAGGACGAUCAGCCACACUGGAACUGAGAUACGGUGUAGACUCCUACGGGAGGCAGCAGCAGGGAAUCUUGCGCAAUGGGCGAAAGCCUGACGCAGCGACGCCGCGUGGGGGAUGAAGGCCUUGGGGUUGUAACCUCCUUUCACGAGGGAAGAAAAUGACGGUACCUCGAGAAGAAGCCUCGGCUAACUACGUGCCAGCAGCCGCGGUAAUACGUAGGGGGCGAGCUGUGUCUGGAUUUAUUGGGCAUAAANNGGCUCGUAGCGGCUUNGACAGUCGGCCGUGAAAACCCAGGNCUCANCCCCUGGACGUCGGUCGAUACUGUCAUGCCUAGGGUCCGGUAGAGGGAAUGGUAAUUCCCCGUGUAGCUGUGAAUGCGCAGAUAUCGGGAGGAACACAUUAGCGAAGGCGGUCCCUGGGUCGCAUCGACGCUGAGAGCGACGCGUGNCGAGCAACAGGAUAGAUACCCUGGUAGUCAGGCGAAUCUGCAGUAUCAU